rnacentral:rRNA from 1 species
UAGGGAAUCUUCGGCAAUGGGGGCAACCCUGACCGAGCAACGCCGCGUGAGUGAAGAAGGUUUUCGGAUCGUAAAGCUCUGUUGUAAGAGAAGAACGUGUGUGAGAGUGGAAAGUUCACACAGUGACGGUAACUUACCAGAAAGGGACGGCUAACUACGUGCCAGCAGCCGCGGUAAUACGUAGGUCCCGAGCGUUGUCCGGAUUUAUUGGGCGUAAAGCGAGCGCAGGCGGUUUAAUAAGUCUGAAGUUAAAGGCAGUGGCUUAACCAUUGUUCGCUUUGGAAACUGUUAAACUUGAGUGCAGAAGGGGAGAGUGGAAUUCCAUGUGUAGCGGUGGAAUGCGUAGAUAUAUGGAGGAACACCGGUGGCGAAAGCGGCUCUCUGGUCUGUAACUGACGCUGAGGCUCGAAAGCGUGGGGAGCAAACAGG